AACGCAAGGGAGACAGUCGCUUUGGCUUCGGCCACAGAGGAAAGUCCGAGCUCCGUAUGGCAUCCUGCUAGAUAACGUCUAGACACCAGUUGAACAUAAAAAGAAUGGUGAUGGAAAGUGCCACAGAAAAAAACCGCCUGCUUAGAGACUAGGAACUAGAGACUAGAAACAAGGAGUUUUCUUGCCAUACCAUAAAUUAAAAGUAGUUCAACAAUCGUACGAUUUGGCUUUAAGAGUGCACAAGCUGACGCUUAAUUUUCCAAAGAUUGAGCAGUAUGCUUUGGCACAGCAGUUGAGAAGUUCCUCGAAGUCCAUUUCUGUCAAUAUUGUUGAAGGUAUGGGAAAGCAAGAAUCUCAAAAAGAGGUUUCUCGUUAUUUGAGAAUUGCUCUCGGUUCUUGUGAUGAAACAAGGAUGUGGGUUCAGUUUGCUAAAGAUCUUGAAUAUCUUUCCCAUGAUGAUUUUCAACUUUUGAGUGAUCAAUAUUGUGAAGUUGGAAAAAUGAUUCGUGGCUUAUUGAAAAGAUAUUCCCAUCUCUAGUAUCUAGUUUCUAGCUCCUAGUUUCUAGCAUGGCAAGGGUGAAAAGGUGGGGUAAGAGCCCACCGCGCUUUUGGCGACAAAAGUGGCAAGGUAAACCCCAGGAGGAGAAAGGCAAAUAGUUUUGUUGAUCGAAAGAUCGUCGUUAGCCAGACGAUGUAGCUUGUCUACAGCAAAACGGGUUGCUGCUUGAGUUUGCCGGCGACGGCAAACCUAGAUGAAUGACAGUCGUUCGCGAAAGCGAGCAACAGAACUCGGCUUAUGAACUUGCGUCUUUU
rnacentral:RNase_P_RNA from 3 species